UGGGGAAUAUUGGACAAUGGGCGCAAGCCUGAUCCAGCCAUGCCGCGUGAGUGAUGAAGGCCCUAGGGUUGUAAAGCUCUUUCACCGGUGAAGAUAAUGACGGUAACCGGAGAAGAAGCCCCGGCUAACUUCGUGCCAGCAGCCGCGGUAAUACGAAGGGGGCUAGCGUUGUUCGGAUUUACUGGGCGUAAAGCGCUCGUAGGCGGACUUUUAAGUCAGGGGUGAAAUCCCGGGGCUCAACCCCGGAACUGCCUUUGAUACUGGAAGUCUUGAGUAUGGUAGAGGUGAGUGGAAUUCCGAGUGUAGAGGUGAAAUUCGUAGAUAUUCGGAGGAACACCAGUGGCGAAGGCGGCUCACUGGACCAUUACUGACGCUGAGGUGCGAAAGCGUGGGGAGCAAACAGG
rnacentral:rRNA from 1 species